AUCCAUCUGACGAGUCCCAAAUAGGACGAAACGCCCGUCAAACUGGAU
rnacentral:hammerhead_ribozyme from 1 species